rnacentral:tRNA from 1 species
GGGACCAUAGCUCAACUGGCUAGAGCGCCUGCCUUGCAAGCAGGAGGUUAGGGGUAUUGCCUGCGGCAACGCUUCGCGAACGAUUCCCCUUGGCUCCA